GUAAGGAAUAUUGGUCAAUGGACGAAAGUCUGAACCAGCCAUGCCGCGUGGAGGAUGAAGGUCCUCUGGAUUGUAAACUUCUUUUAUAUGGGACGAAAAAGGGACUUUCUAGUUCAACUGACGGUACCAUAUGAAUAAGCACCGGCUAACUCCGUGCCAGCAGCCGCGGUAAUACGGAGGGUGCAAGCGUUAUCCGGAUUCACUGGGUUUAAAGGGUGCGUAGGUGGGUUGGUAAGUCAGUGGUGAAAUCUCCGAGCUUAACUUGGAAACUGCCAUUGAUACUAUCAGUCUUGAAUACCGUGGAGGUCAGCGGAAUAUGUCAUGUAGCGGUGAAAUGCUUAGAUAUGACAUAGAACACCAAUUGCGAAGGCAGCUGGCUACACGAAUAUUGACACUGAGGCACGAAAGCGUGGGGAUCAAACAGGAUUAGAAACCCCUGUAGUCC
rnacentral:rRNA from 1 species